GGCCAGCAGCCGCGGUAAUACGUAGGGUGCGAGCGUUAAUCGGAAUUACUGGGCGUAAAGCGUGCGCAGGCGGUUUUGUAAGACAGAUGUGAAAUCCCCGGGCUUAACCUGGGAACUGCAUUUGUGACUGCAAGGCUAGAGUACGGCAGAGGGGGGUAGAAUUCCACGUGUAGCAGUGAAAUGCGUAGAUAUGUGGAGGAAUACCGAUGGCGAAGGCAGCCCCCUGGGUCGAUACUGACGCUCAUGCACGAAAGCGUGGGGAGCAAACAGGAUUAGAUACCCUGGUAGUCCACGCCCUAAACGAUGUCAACUAGGUGUUGGGGGAGGAGACUUCCUUAGUACCGCAGCUAACGCGUGAAGUUGACCGCCUGGGGAGUACGGUCGCAAGAUUAAAACUUAAAGGAAUUGGCGGGGGAC
rnacentral:rRNA from 1 species